AACGAACGCUGGCGGCAGGCUUAACACAUGCAAGUCGAACGAGGUAGCAAUACCUAGUGGCGCACGGGUGAGUAACACGUGGGAAUCUCCCUUUCAGUACGGGGUAACGGCGGGAAACUGCCGCUAAUACCGUAUAAACCUCCGGGUUAAAGAUUUAUCUCUGAAAGAUGGGCCCGCGUCAGAGUAGCUAGUCGGUGGGGUAACGGCCUACCAAGGCUCCGAUCUGUAGCUGGUCUUAGAGGACGAUCAGCCACACUGGAACUGAGACACGGUCCAGACGCCUACAGGAGGCAGCAGUGGGGAAUAUUGGACAAUGGGGGAAACCCUGAUCCAGCCAUGCCGCGUGAGUGAUGAAGGCCUUCGGGUUGUAAAGCUCUUUUGUUAGGGAAGACGAUGACUGUACCUAAAGAAUAAGCCCCGGCUAACUUCGUGCCAGCCGCCGCAGUAA
rnacentral:rRNA from 1 species